CAAAACUACACAGAAAAACUCUAUCUGGAAAAAACAAUCAAACAAACAAAACCCACACAUGAACAAAGAAUAAAUGCAUUAAUUCUUAAAUCCCCCAUUUUUCCCACCAGCAAGAGUAGGGCAGAAAGCACGGAAGGAGGAAAACCCUGCACUACCACAGUAGUUGUGGACACCAUUCUCAGGUAUUCAGGGCCUUCAGGCUGUCUGGCUGUCACAUCAGAGAACAAGGAAGUCAUCCUCUUCCAGGGUCACAGGACCUCUGACUGCAAAUCCACCCGAGGCACGCUUCUCAGCCACAUAGCCCCGCUGAUCCCAGCAAUGCCCAGUCCAAUGAACAGUGAUGUCAUAUUGUUUGGGUUGGGAUCAUUCCUGAACCAUGAAACAGUUAAGAAAUAUCCUGCCCCACUGGCUGCCAGGCUCAUAAAGGUGGACCCACGUGGACUUCCUUCUUGUUCCAAGACGCACCAGCUCAUGCAUUUGCCCACACCCAGAGGGAGAGACAGCACAGGACUGCCACCUCCCAUGCAAAUCACCCCCAGGAGCACAGCUGGGCUCCUCCUGCUGCUCCUGGGCAAUGCUCCUGGGCAGACCUUGUACAAGAUGCCAUCUCGGGCGCUGUGUAUUUUUCCUCAUUGUGGCUCUUUUGAGCGACGCUGUGGGCCUGGUCCUUUUGCUGCUGGGGAUCUUUGCCACACUAAACUACUGGGACUUCUUGGUCUACACAGGGGCUCUGGUCCUGGCCCUGAGCCUACUGUUCUGGCUUGCCUGGUAUUCCUUCAAUAUCGAGGUGCCUCUUGAGAAGCUGGACUUUUAGUGUGGCAUGGACAGGAGAGUGGCAGGUGGCAUAUGCAGCUGUGAACCUGGGGCCACCUGGACAUGAAGCCCCUCCCCAAGAAUGCCCCCACUGGGACCAGGUCUGUCUAACACAGAAGAAUCAAAUCAAGAUGCACUCUCUUUGCAGUACCUCCUUUGUAGCAUCCAAGAGAGACCCAGAUGCUACAAUGAUGAAGCUUUGACAUCACCCACAAGAAUAACCACAAAUGACUGUGACUACCACGUCUCUAUCUAUAACCCAACUACCCUGCACCAAACCACUAAGACUGCUGCCACCAUUCCAGGAGUUCGUGAGGGAUUGAGAUGCCAUGAAGUUCCACCAGUGGGGCUGUUAUAGGAACCACUCUGCUACAGGGUUCGAUCCCAAGGAAGCCUCUGACCAAAGUGUUUUCUAAGAACUGCCCAUUGGAAUCAAAUACAGACACCCAUCUGGGGUUUCCCAUGAAUACGCAUCAUACAGUACUGCUGCCAUGCCCCUCUGACACUCACUGGACUCUGAGCCCCUGGCUCCUCUUCAUCCCACCACUCAGGAUACACAGAAGCAGAUUCCAACAUGGAUACUGAAACAUGAAUGCACAGCUAAAGUGCAUGCAAGGGAACUCUCCAUACUGACAAAUAUGCUGGCACUGUUCACAUAGGCCCACCUAGGUGCGGAGCCAGCCAUGGGGCUGCUCACAUUGAGCUUCAGGUUGACUGAAACCUUCAGGCAUUUUUUAUUUGACAAGCACUCUAGGCCUCUGCUCUGCUGUCUGUGUGAUGUUCAAGACUUCAAGAAGACUGUAUUUCUAGCCUAAAAUACCUGUAGUCCAGUACAGCCUUACUCCAGUAUCUACUGAAGACCUCCAUCCCUGGGCUGAUUGGAAAGAUGUGCUGUUUUGUAACCCAGACUGACCUACUCCACUAAUUUAUAUUUCCUAUGGUCUGGUUUUGCACUUUGUAUUUAUACUAUGCCCUAAAUGAACAUGUUUCCUUUAAGCUGCCCCAUAUCUUUUAUGGUAUGGGGUGGUUGCCUAAAUAAAGAAAUGGAUAUGUUUUUAUGUGGCAUGAUGUAA